rnacentral:rRNA from 1 species
CUGCGGCAGCGACACUGUGUGUUGUUGGGUAGGGGAGCGUUCUGUAAGCCUGUGAAGGUGUACUGUGAGGUAUGCUGGAGGUAUCAGAAGUGCGAAUGCUGACAUAAGUAACGAUAAAGCGGGUGAAAAGCCCGCUCGCCGGAAGACCAAGGGUUCCUGUCCAACGUUAAUCGGGGCAGGGUGAGUCGACCCCUAAGGCGAGGCCGAAAGGCGUAGUCGAUGGGAAACAGGUUAAUAUUCCUGUACUUGGUGUUACUGCGAAGGGGGGACGGAGAAGGCUAUGUUGGCCGGGCGACGGUUGUCCCGGUUUAAGCGUGUAGGCUGGUUUUCCAGGCAAAUCCGGAAAAUCAAGGCUGAGGCGUGAUGACGAGGCACUACGGUGCUGAAGCAACAA